CUGUACACCUACAGGGCCGGCCUGGAAUGUGGAAGGUAGAAUUUCAACUCUUUCCCUCCCGGUCUAGUCCUUCCUGCUGUAAUGCUCCUUUGGAGGUCCCAGCUGACAGAGUCAGAGCACAGCAUGGCUUUGCUCUAACUAAUUGCCAACAGUUGGCUGAAGCUACAUUUGUUAUUCAAAAAGCCUCAUUAAUCUCCUAAUGCCAGUGUAGCCAUGGCUGCUAAUGGUGCCUCUCAUCUCCCCACACCCAGUUCCGGAUGGGGCAUCCUGGCUCCUGGCAGCAGAGCAGCAGGAAAUGGCUUCCUUCUCAGAAGGCUAAGCUAGUAUCUGGGGUCAUGGAGCCGGGCUGAUUUAGAACCUGGCUGAGUUCCACCUGUGGAUGGAGUGGUACUAGGAGGCUGGACUCAAAUCUGGGUCAUCCUUGGGUCACAGAGCCUUGGAAUGGUUCAGAGAGGGGCUGUCAAGCAAAGAAUGAGAAAGAGCGCAAUGAACCUGAUGGUUUCAGACAUAACUGGGAAGAUCUAGAAAGCAUUCACCUUCUUAAGGCUACAACUGAACCUAUUUCCAGGUGAUUUCUUAACUUCAGGUAAGUAGCUUGGGCCUUAGUAUAUGUAUUAGUCCGUUUUCACGCUGCUGAUAAAGACAUACUCAAGACUGGGGAAUUUAUAAAAGAAAGAGGUUUAAUUGACUCACAGUUCAGCAUGGCUGGGGAGGCCUCACAAUCAUGGUGGAAGAUGAAGGAAGAGCAAAGGAACAUCUUACGUGGUGGCUAACAAAGAAAAAAUGAGAGUCAAGCAAAAGGGGUUUCCCCUUAUAAAACCGUCAGCUCUAUUGAGACUUAUUCACUACCGUGAGAACAGUAUGGGGGACACUAUCCCGAUGAUUCAAUUAUCUCCCACCAGGUCCCUCCCACAACACAUGGGAAUCAUGGGAGCUACAAUUCACAAUGAGAUUUGGGUGGGGACAGAGCCAAACCACAUCAGUAUAUUUGUAGUUAAAUAUUCUCAGGUGUUUAGUGUUUAAAUAUCUCUACCAAAGGAAAGAAGUAAAGCAGAAUGGAUCAUCCCAAACACUGGUGGCCUCUGGGGCAAGCUCCCUGUAUAACUGGAAGCUGACAGAGCGAGAUCUCACCUCAGGCUUCUGGCACCUGUUUCAUUCAAGAUCAGUUACAGCUGUGGUUCUCAAUCCUGAGCUAGAUCAGAAUUACCUGAGGGAGUUGUUAAAACCCAGACUCUGGCCCCAUCCUCAGCCUCUGAUUCAGCUUGCGUGGGGUGAAGCCUGGGGGUUUGCAUCUCUUAAACAUCCCCCGAUACUUACCUGGGACCAGACUGGGAACCACUGAGCUCGGCUCCGCUUUGGCAACAACUCCUGAAUCUCAGUGACUUUGCACCACAGAAGUUUAUUUUUCGCUUGUGCUACCCAUGGAUAAGAAAGAGUCAGUGCAGCUCUGCUCCACAUAGUCACUCAAGAGCCCAGGCCCACUUAGGUCCCCCCACCCACCUUAUAGCUGCAGCUUCUGGAACAUGUGACCUUCUUGGUUGCUGUGGCACAGGAAAAGAAACUGAAGAAUCAUGUGUGGGCUUUUAACUGUCUCAGCCCAGAAGUGAUGAUAUAAGCCACAUGCACUCACAUUUCACUGACCAGAGCUACUCACAUGGCCCUGCCCACAUUCCAGGCAGGAGUCUUCCAUGUCUCUAGAAGAAGUGGAUUGGAUGUUGGUGAAUGCUUGUACUUGUGGGGACAAGAAUGACUUUAUUUUAAAUGGUAAUUCAUCAUGUAACUUAUGACUAACCCCGAGUCCAGGAAUGCCUCCAAAAUGUCUAGUUGAUGUAUUACUCUUUAUGUAGGAACAUCUAUUCAUUGUAAGUUUCCUCCAAAACAACCCUUGUAGUUGCAGAAAUCAAAGGCUGUGACACCCAUAGCCAUCUACACAUCCCUUCCAGAGCAUGUAUGCUUUUUCUUCAAGAUAUAAGCCCUGGGUCUGGGGGGUGUUGUGGUGCAGAGAUCUACCUGUCUUGGGACCACCCAAGACCUUGCUUCUGCCUGUAAGUUCCCCAUAAUAAAUCAUUCAAAACUGAC
rnacentral:lncRNA from 1 species